rnacentral:lncRNA from 1 species
UGCUGUGUACAUCGUAGGAUGAAAGGAGUAAUAUCUUGUAGCUGCUGUGUGCAGUGAAACUUGAUGAAUCUUUGAAUAUGUCAAUCCUCAAUUGACACCACAAAUUUGUCAGGUAAUUAAGACGAUUUGCAAUUACUGGAUGGGAACGGCACCAAAUAAGCAUUCAAAUUCAGUUUGAAUUCUUCAAAAAAUUAUAAGUGUCUCAGCACAAUUCUUCAAAAAAUAUUAUCAAUAAUAUUUAUCUAUGUAAUUAGCAAUCAAAAAUCAACGUAAAACAUUUAUAAUAUAUAUAUAUAUAACAUUUUCCAUUUUAAAUUUCCCUUGAUUUGAAAAAGAUGCAACUUACCGUGUCUUUUGGGUUUCCUUUUACCAACUACAUUUUUUUUAUGCUUAAACAAAAAAUAAGAUAAGCAAUAAAAUAUACUAUUAUGUUUAGGAUUAAAUUAAAAUUUUCAAGUUUCAACUAGAUUUAUUAAUUAACUAGAACUAUUUAAGUUUGUUAACUAUUUUUAAUUAUUUAGGUUAAGACUUAAACCCAUAUUUUUUUAUAAAAAAAAUAAGCCUAAAUCAAUUAACUAGUUUCAACUCAUUUUUUAUUCAUUCCAAACAGGCCCACCGCUUCUUCUUAUCCUUGAAUGCUUCCAAUUUAAUUGAUACUACUCUUUCUUGGCUGAAAAUAUUUCUUCAACUGCAGUCACAAAUGUCAAAUACAUCGGCAUUAGAUUCGACUGUUACAAUUGAAAAAUAUGUGUAUCCUGAUCGUUCUAGAUUCGGAGGAUCAAGUGUCAAGGCUAAAAUAUCCACAAAAUUUAGCAGAAACUCAAAACCUGCGUAUCAAAACCGAGAAAUCAUCACAUCGCUUGAGCAUAUAGAAACAGACAGAUUAUAUCAACAAUCACACAUCCAAAUAAUAAUCAACAAAUAUCAGGAGAGAGAGAGAGAGGAAGGAAUUAUAACGAAUGAAAUGAGUACCUCAGCAGAACUGCCGCGGAUUUCACGGAGGAAGACUUUGUCGAGGCCAUUGUACCCUUUCGAUCGAAAUCAAUUACGGCGUCCAGAAUUUAGAACUGGUAACAGAUAAAAAAACCCAGAAAUUAGCAAAAUCAAAAUAGCAAAACAAAUUAAUGCAAUCUUCGAAACCAUUUACAGGGAUACCAUAUAUGUAUGUGUGUGAGAGAGAAAACAAUAUGUUUCGAUUUCAGCCGGCUUUGGGUUUGGAAAAACAAUAUGUUUUCAGGGUUUGGAUCGGCUUUGGGUUUAGAUCUUCUAAUUUGGUCUGUACCUCCGAUUUUUCGGUCAGAUUCCGGCCGUCGACUUCGCUAAUCGGCUUUUCUUCCGAAGGCAGCAGCUCUGGUAACAGAAAAAAUUUGGGGGAAUCGACGCUGCGAUCCAUAACCGGCUAUUUGAAGGGUAUUUUUGUCAAGGCCAAUAUAGAGCGGUAUGUAAGAUGGACCGGUGUUAAAAUUGUAGAAAGACAGAUGUCAACUUAUUAUAUCAUGUACUGUGAUUUAAUAUAUAUAAUACAUAAUAAAAUGUUUAAGAUACUCAUAAUUACUAAUAAUGGCC